CACACUCCUUGGAGACGGGACCG
rnacentral:miRNA from 1 species